rnacentral:rRNA from 1 species
AGAGUUUGAUCAUGGCUCAGGAUGAACGCUGGCGGCAUGCCUAAGACAUGCAAGUCGAACGAGAUGGCCCAGUGAAGGUUGCGUGCUUGCACAAGACUGAAUCUGGAUUACCAUCUAGUGGCAGACGGGUGAGUAACACGUGGGUGACCUACCUUUUCGUUGGGGAUAACAGUUGGAAACGAUUGCUAAUACCGAAUAAAAUAUAAGAGUCAAUUUUAUAUUGAAAGGAGCCUUUAAAGCUUCGCGAUUAGAUGGGCCUGCGGCGUAUUAACUAGUUGGUGGGGUAAUGGCCUACCAAGGUAACGAUGCGUAGCCGAACUGAGAGGUUGAUCGGCCACACUGGGACUGAGACACGGCCCAGACUCCUACGGGAGACAGCAGUUAGGAAUAUUCGUCAAUGGGGGAAACCCUGAACGAGCAAUGCCGCGUGAGUGAUGACGGUCCUUUGGAUUGUAAAACUCUGUUGUAUGGAAAAAAUGACUAAGUUAGGAAAUGAACUUAGUGUGAUGGUACCAUGCCAGAAAGCCCCGGCUAACUACGUGCCAGCAGCCGCGGUAAUACGUAGGGGGCGAGCGUUAUCCGGAUUUAUUGGGCGUAAAGCGUGUGUAGGCGGUUUGUUAAGUUUAAGAUUAAAGCCUGGGGCUCAACUCCAGUUCGUCUUAAAAACUGGCAGACUAGAGUACGGUAGAGGCAAACGGAAUUUCUAGUGUAGCGGUGAAAUGCGUAGAUAUUAGAAGGAACACCAGUGGCGAAAGCGGUUUGCUGGGCCGUUACUGACGCUGAGGCACGAAAGCGUGGGGAGCAAAUAGGAUUAGAUACCCUAGUAGUCCACGCCGUAAACGAUGAGUACUAAGUGUUGGAAUUAUCCAGUGCUGAAGCU